rnacentral:rRNA from 1 species
GAUGAACGCCGGCGGCGUGCCUAAUACAUGCAAGUCGAGCGAAUGGAUUAAGAGCUUGCUCUUAUGAAGUUAGCGGCGGACGGGUGAGUAACACGUGGGUAACCUGCCCAUAAGACUGGGAUAACUCCGGGAAACCGGGGCUAAUACCGGAUAACAUUUUGAACCGCAUGGUUCGAAAUUGAAAGGCGGCUUCGGCUGUCACUUAUGGAUGGACCCGCGUCGCAUUAGCUAGUUGGUGAGGUAACGGCUCACCAAGGCAACGAUGCGUAGCCGACCUGAGAGGGUGAUCGGCCACACUGGGACUGAGACACGGCCCAGACUCCUACGGGAGGCAACAGUAGGGAAUCUUCCGCAAUGGACGAAAGUCUGACGGAGCAACGCCGCGUGAGUGAUGAAGGCUUUCGGGUCGUAAAACUCUGUUGUUAGGGAAGAACAAGUGCUAGUUGAAUAAGCUGGCACCUUGACGGUACCUAACCAGAAAGCCACGGCUAACUACGUGCCAGCCGCCGCAGUAA